rnacentral:rRNA from 1 species
UACGGGGGGGGCAAGCGUUGUUCGGAAUUACUGGGCGUAAAGGGCGCGUAGGCGGUUCGAUAAGUCAGCUGUGAAAACCAUGGGCUUAACUCAUGGCCUGCAGUUGAGACUGUCGGGCUGGAGUGUGGGAGAGGAGAGUGGAAUUCCUGGUGUAGCGGUGAAAUGCGUAGAUAUCAGGAGGAACACCGGUGGCGAAGGCGGCUCUCUGGGCAACUACUGACGCUGAGGAGCGAAAGCGUGGGGAGCGAACAGG